UGCGAUUGCUUGAGAGGGGAAAAAACCCUCUGUAGCCACAGGCAGACAAGCUCAGUGCUCAGGAACAUAAUGGCUGGAGCCUGCAGGCCCAUAUGCUCGCCAUCCUGCGAGGUGGAAGGCCAGCUCCGAUCAUCUCUAGCUGCUCAGGAUACAAUUGAUCAGGGUCUCCUAAACACUCCAACCUUUCCCAGCCCACUAUCACUUGAUGCAGAAGCACAGACCGCUAAUAGCAUGAGAUGAAUAAGAAACCAAUGCAAUAGGACUCUGGAUGUCUUUGUGAAAUCCCACGUGUGGCUUUAAGAAUAAAUUGUUAUUUUAGUGGUUUGCUUUCAAGUUGUUGUACAAGCACUUCCCACAACCCACUAAGGAAGUAAAAAGCCUCGUUUCAAUUGGUAAAGGACUUUAAGAAUUCAGUGGACCUAACCAAAAUGCCCUUGUCUACCUAUUCCAAUAAAAUAAUCCUGUCCCUGGUCACAGCUACACCCAGCCUGCAAGUUCCCUUACACAAAGCACUCUUGAGAGCUCACAGUGGGAGGUCUAUUCUCACAUCAAAUUAAAGCCAGACAGAAUCAAUUAAAGCAAAAAGGAUGGGGUCUUCCAAAAUGACAGAAGGCAUUUGGGGCAAAUGCUCACAGCUGAAUGCAGAAGAGGUGCCAUUGCUCAAGCUUUCUUGCUCUUCCAUGGAAGCUGGGCACAACAAUACACUUGUCUCCAGAGGACUCCUGGUUGUAAUGUUUUGUGGUGCCUCAUGAUGCUGAAUAGCAAGAAGAGUAAAGUUUGAGACAGAUAGAAAAGGAUAUGAAUGGGACAUCAAAAAUUAUCAGAGGAAGGACUUUUAGACUCUCCCUUCUAUUACUCAGAGGUGACUUAUUCCAGUGCAGGCCCUGAGAUAAGAAUACUGAAUACACAAAAAAUCCCCACCAAACUCACAGAUGGAUUUCAUUCCUAUGUAGGACUCAUUCUCCACAAGAUCUCUGUAUUCAUGCUUACUUCUAUAGCCCCCCAUAAAUUCUAUCUGAUGACCCAAGGCCAUUCCCCUGGGCUUCCCUGAAGCCAGCCCUGACUGCAGAGGCUAUGGCAGAGCACUUCAGCCAACACACCAACAGUUGCUGGCUUUGUAACUCUAACUCUCUCCAGGCCAUACCCUUCUCUUCCUCAUCUGGCGUGUUCAGCCUACAAGUUGUCCAACUUUUUACCUGCAAGGGAGAUCAGGGAUCAGCUGGGUGCUGAACAUCUCUCAGUUUGGGGCACCUUCAGUCAAUUCCAGCUCUCUCCACCCCCAAGAAAGUUAUUAGUUGGAACAGGAAAAGAACAAGAGAAAUAAAUUCUCUUUAGAGAGAUGAUGACACAGGCACCAGUUAGUGAAGGAAGAUUUUUUGGUGCUGUUUCCUUCCCUCUUCACUGUAAAUUCUCCAGCGUUCUAGUAACAACACCCUAAUUCCCAGACAUCCAGGGGAGGCAAGUGCCUCUACAAGAUCCUGAGAUCCCCAGCUUCCAUUGACAGCAAGUGAGCAGCAUUAGCUCUUCUGAGUUUGCCUUGCUGGGCUGAUUUGUGGUGUGAACACACACUAAUUAGCCAAUUAACUUAGGAACUAAGACUCCCAAGAGAAAAAGAUUUCAGAGGGGAAUUCAGAGCCCUUCAGAUUGAAAUUAUCAUCAAGUGCCUAAUGUAACUGUUCUGCUUCUCCUUUUCAAGACUUCUUUUCCUCCAUCUGACUAUUAAAAUAGGCAGUGUGAAUGCUUCCACAACUUUGCCAAAAGUGGGUGGUGUAUCCUUUCUUGAAAUCACGUGGGUAAAUUCACAACACAUUUUUGUCUUCUGGAUUUGGGUAGGGAAAAGGAAGGCGUCUGUUCAAGAGACAAGCAACAAGAGAUACUUCAUGCCUCUUACACAAUGGUUGGCAACUCACAGAAUAUGGUUAAAAACUCUAAGCCUACCAGCAUGUAAAGCAAUUCUUAAAGAUGAAAGAUGCUCUGAACACUAGACUUGAAAUGGAUUGACUUUUAAAUAUGAUCAAAUCUUAGUUUAUAUCUCAUCCAAGCAACAAAUCUGAGUCCGCAUUUUAAAACAAGUCUUAUGUUACCUGAACAUUCACAAUUAUUAAAAAGCCUCUUCAAACAACCCCUAUGGAGUGCUAUUGUUGGCCUCUUGACCUCUUUGCUUAUGUACAUCCAGAGACUGAAAAGGCUGUAUUUAUGAUAUUACCAAUUCCAGCACUGCCAGGCCAACCAACCUGAACUUAGCACAAUACUUUCCCUAGACUGUUCCUUUCCUGACAGAAAAGACAAGAGACUGACUUUGUGCAUGGUUUGGAAAGCUUCCAACUAGUUUAGCAGGGCUCUGCUAAAUAUAGAUAUAUAUUAGAUAUACAGAGACAUAAAUACAGAUAUAGACUGUGCAAUUUUUGGCUUUACAUAAGAUAAUAGCCCAACUUACUGACUGUAAAAUGAAACUGGGAAGGCUACUGUACUGGAGGAAGCGCUGGCCUAGGGUUUGAGAGACUUGCAGCAGGAUUCAGAUCACCUGAUCAGGUACCUAAAGCAUGACUUUGUUCAAACACCCAGAAUAUCCACUCUCAAGUAUUUCCUAUUUCAGAAGGACCCAGAUCUCAUAAACACCUAUUUCAGCAUGAAAUACCCUCCCAUGCAGCUGUGUAGAAGCCCUUCUGGAUAUGCAAAUUACAGACAUAAUCCCUUUUUCUGCUGCAGUGCAGAUCCAGACAGCCAUCCACAGUUCCUGAGCAGCUAAAGUGCUCUUACAAGAUUCCCAGCUCAGCAGAGGACCACACCAUGAUGCUUAUGGAUGCAUCCAGCUCUCAGUUAAUUCUACAAUCUGCCUGGGCACCUACAUGCCAUUUUCUUUGGACAAGCAUCUACAUCAGGUGCUGCAACCCCUUAGGCAGGCAUGUAAACUAGGUAUUACAGUAUGAGACUGGACUUCCAAUCCUGAAUUUGAAGCUGUCCUGCAAGAUGAUUUUGAAGACACUUCAUCUCUGAGUGCCUCUCUUUAAAAUGCUAAGAAAGGUAACAUUCACAGCGCAUUGGAAGACAGCAAUUAUUUCUGGGUGCUUGUGAAUAAAAAGUGCUUUACUGAAGACACUAAGCGACUCAAUAAAUGAACUGCUAAAUGAAUCUGAAGACCUACUGCAUAAUUUGGCUAAGUUAUAUGAUAGAAUUAGAAGGUAAAACGAAGCAGAUGUCUUGGUCGCUGUUGUGACUCCACAGAAAUAAAUUCUUGUUACCAGUAAACAAUAACAAGAGAACCUGUCUUUAGUCUGCCACAAAACAAACAAACAAAGAAACAAAACCCUGUUAAAAUCUUUUGGAUGUUGUUUCAAGCAAUGUGUGAAAAACCUGCCUUGGUGACAGCUCUCCCCAUCUCUGGAGCCAAGCUUUGCAGACAGCCAGUAUCAUGUGCGUCCACAUAUGACGGAUCUUACUUGGGCGUGAAAUUUUCAUUAGUUCUUGAGCAGUGCACAGAUGCAGGGUUUGACCAAUCUAAUGAGCUAACACAUACCACUGCCCAGCUGGUUAUAGCUGCAAAAAAAGCCAAGAAGGGAAUCUGGUUGAUCCUGUAUAUUUUGUAUAUUUUUUCAUCCUACGCUACAACAGCAUUACCAUAUCUUUUUUCCAGUUCUUUUAGAACAGAGAAGAGAAUGCUGCAGGCCAGUAACUUGAGAAGAUCUUUGUUUCCCUCUAUAAUUUCUCUAGACACAAUAAAAAUGAUUUCAUCAGUGAGAA